UAGGUGAACCUGCGGAAGGAUCAUUAUUGAAUAAACUUGAUGUAGUUGUAGCUGAUCUUUUCGGAGAUAUGUGCUCGCUCGUCACCUUUAUCUUUCCACCUGUGCACCUUUUGUAGACUUGAAUGUAACAUUUUCCGAGGUAACUCGGUUUGGAGGAAUGCCUUUUAUUUAUAGAGGGCUUUCCUUGUGCAUUCUAGUCUAUGUUUUCAUAUACCCCAAAGAAUGUAACAGAAUGUAUCAUUGGGCCUUGUGCCUAUAAAACUAUAUACAACUUUCAGCAACGGAUCUCUUGGCUCUCGCAUCGAUGAAGAACGCAGCGAAAUGCGAUAAGUAAUGUGAAUUGCAGAAUUCAGUGAAUCAUCGAAUCUUUGAACGCACCUUGCGCUCCUUGGUAUUCCGAGGAGCAUGCCUGUUUGAGUGUCAUUAAAUUCUCAACCUUUAUUAGCUUUUGCGAGCUUGGUGAAGGAUUGGAUGUGAGGGUUUUAUGCUGGCUUCGCAAGAGGUCUGCUCCCCUCAAAUACAUUAGCCGGUGCCCGUGUGGAUCCGUCUAUUGGUGUGAUAAUUAUCUACGCCGUUAGACAUCUGCAUUAAAUGGGUUGUACUGCUUCUAACAGUCCAUUUAGUUGGACAAUUAAUGACUAUUUGACCUCAAAUCAGGUAGGACUACC
rnacentral:rRNA from 1 species